GGUGGAACUGGCCCCAGGGACCUAGCUCUUUCCAAGGAGCUCUGCUUCCCAUUGUUACAGCGUCCAGCUACCUGCCCCAGGGAACAAACCCCAUACUUGUAGGCCACUGCCCACACGCACAUACACACAUACAGACAUGUGCACACACAGCCUCACAACAUACAUGCAGAUGCAUGCACACACAGACAUGCACACUCUUUAAAAGACCCCUGUGUCCUAACACAGUGAAGAAAACCUGUGUCUGCCGUCACGACGUUCUGGGACUCUAAACACAGGGAUGUCUCUGGCAUCCCUGCCCACAUCCGGGAGGCCCCUACCCUCAGGCUGGCCCUCUGUACCCCUCCAGAUGUCCUGACAAAGUCCUGUGAAUGCUACGUGUCGUCAACAUGGGGAUAGCCCCAGCUUCCCCAGGAGUGACACUCCCUCUGGGGUUCCCUGAAACACGCGGGGUGUGUGUGUGUGUGUGUGUGUUUGUGUGUGUGUGAGAUGAACCUGGAGCUCCUCUGUUGCUAGGCGACAGGCCUCUGUUUGGUUCCUAUUAUGCCUGUUUCCAUGGUACCCACAAGGGGAGCUCCAGUGCACCCCGGCCAGGGGAUUCCCCUUCCCUCCCCUGCGGCCAGGGUCCCCCUCCUCUGAAAUCUGCCCGUAGCUGGGAGGAGGGAGCUAAGUGGGUGAUCUCUGUUUGAAGCAUGGCCCUGACAGGAAGCAGAGUGAGCAGCCUGCUUGUGGGCCCCAGAAGCAGCCCUUCUCAAGAGUAGCCUUCUGUGUGGCCUCCUCGGCUCAGCCCGGUUAAAGCUGGUGGAGACCCGCAGCCUGGUGCAGCAGGAAGGCUAAAAAGGUGGUCCAGGCAGAGAGCAGGAAGGAAGCGUGCAAAGGAGAGCAGGUUUUACAAGAUCAUCGCCGUUCUCAGCCCCUGGCCCGUCCCCACUGCCCUCCUCUUCCGCCCCAGCCUUGGGCCCGUCAGCCCGCCCUGCAGUGGGCGCAGGAAGUGUCGGAAGGCACGAGCUCCCCUGGCCUGCAAGGAAAACUGCCCAGCAACUGGAGACGUCCGCAGGCGCAGGUUCCGAUUGGCUGUCCAGACCGGGAAGGGCGGGGCUCCACGUGGUUAGGACCUGGAGAGAGGCGGCCAGGCUGGUGACUCAGGUUUGGGGCACACGGGGCGGGACCAAGUCCACAUGUGCUUCUCCUCGCGCCCCAUCUGCCGCUGCACUCAACUCAGCUUGAAGAGGCGAGGGCUCCAGCCCAGCCCCUCAGCCCGGCGUGUUGCCCCCCGGCCUCCUGGCCGCCCAGGGCCGAGGCAGCAGGAACUGCGCACGCCUUCCUGCUCCGCCAGUCCCCAAAAUAAAUCUUGCACAACGCGGCUCCGCGCCCAAAGCUGCAGAUCCCGGGAAGAGGGCUAAGAAGGGGUGUGGUGGGAAACGGAAUCCAGGCGGCCAACACAACAGGUUCGGCGAGGCCGGCAAGAAGCUGGGCUCUGGGCUGGGGCAAGAUCCUGCUGGACGCCGCGGCCCAAGGGGAACAAUAACCACCCCAUCUUCAGUGGACUGCAGGCCACAGCUGCUUGCUGUCCACACCACCCCGCCCCUGGAGGGCGCCUGUCCAGCGGCGGCUUCUGUGCCUGGUGAACCGAAGGUGGAAGGCGGCCCUGUUUCUGCAUCUGCCUUAAACGUCAAUCAGACUUGUUUUGCAGCAAGAGGACGUAAUCCAGGGCACUCCUAUCAUUAAGCUACAUCCCUGACCCUUUUUGAGACAAGGCUUUGUUAAACUGCCAGGCUGUCUCCUGUCUCAGCCUUCAGGGUGGCUGUGAUUACAAAUCUUUUUAGGAUUUGUAUCCUAAAAAGGACACAACCGAAGGGGAAAGACAGCCAUCCUGUUCUGGGCAGGGAGUCGGGUGAGUUAUGUGCACUUGACAUCCUGGCAGGUGUGGGUGGAUGGGCACCUGAGGUGACACCUUGGGCCCGCAGUCUUGAGCACCAGUUUCUCCCCUGAUGGAUGCAGGGACCCACCCCAGGGCUGAGCCACAGCAGGCGAGGGCAGCAGGCUGGGGUCUGAAACCCUCCCUGCCCUGGUCCGUAAACACAUCUGCCAGCUCAACCAACCAGAAGGAAAGCAUCCGGGGCUGGACACGCAGCUGGGUCUGAGCCCACUGGAGCACCAAGGCCCUGGGCAACACAGGAGACUCCCGGGCCUAACUCCUCACACAGCAGGUACCGGAGACCGCGUGCUGUCAGUAGCUUAAGACCGUGAAGUGCCCAGGCUCUGUGCAAGCUGACCACUCGAGCAGAGACUUGGGCUCUCCUGGGACCAGCACCUGACCCUCGACACAGCCACACCAUCAGAGGCUCCUGUGUGCACCACAGGCUGCCGCAGCCUGUCAGCUCUGGGUCACAGGCACUGGACCCUCUCCCUGGGGAGACCCGAAAUCCCACCUCACACUUCUGCUGUCACAAGGUGCCUUCCGCCCACUCCUCCAGCCCCUCCCGAGCUCCCCCCAACGGCAGACAGCCAAGGGU